rnacentral:rRNA from 1 species
AGUGAACGCUGGCGGUAGGCCUAACACAUGCAAGUCGAACGGCAGCACAGUAAGAGCUUGCUCUUACGGGUGGCGAGUGGCGGACGGGUGAGGAAUACAUCGGAAUCUACUUUUUCGUGGGGGAUAACGUAGGGAAACUUACGCUAAUACCGCAUACGACCUACGGGUGAAAGCAGGGGAUCUUCGGACCUUGCGCGAUUGAAUGAGCCGAUGUCGGAUUAGCUAGUUGGCGGGGUAAAGGCCCACCAAGGCGACGAUCCGUAGCUGGUCUGAGAGGAUGAUCAGCGACACUGGAACGGAGACACGGUCCAGACUCCUACGGGAGGCAGCAGUGGGGAAUAUUGGACAAUGGGCGCAAGCCUGAUCCAGCCAUACCGCGUGGGUGGAGAAGGCCUUCGGGUUGUAAAGCCCUUUUGUUGGGAAAGAAAAGCAGCAGGUUAAUACCCCGCUGUUCUGACGGUACCCAAAGAAUAAGCACCGGCUAACUUCGUG